AAAAAAAUACCAUGAGUUUCACGCUUUGAUACUUAGUGGUCCAUUGUGCAAUUUUUGACAAAAUGGUACCUUAAACUUUACUUCGUUAGUAUUUUAAGGACAAAUGCUCAAAUGCUGUUAAUUUUACUGAUGUGACAGUCGAGUCUAUUGAAAUAAUAUUGUUUUCGAUAAAUUACAAGUUAGUCCUUAGGUAUAUCAAAAGCCACAGGUUAGUCUCUGCUUUUUUUUUAAUGGAUUAAAUUUCAGUUGUGGUCCCUGAACUUAUAAUGUUGUAACAGCACUGUCCCACAAUUUCAAUUUGUAAUAUAAAACCCUCAACUUUAAUUUAGUAAAUAAUAAACCCCCUCUUACCUAUUAUAACCAGUUUUACAGUUGUAAUAAUGACAUGUCAUCGUAAAAAAGAGGACAAUUUAAAUGAUUUAAAUACCCUCAAAUAAAAAUCAAUCUUCUUUCCCAUGAUCCCCUUCUCUCCUCUCCCUUGCUCUGUCUCUCGUCUGACCACUCCUUUCUCCAUGUCGCCGUCUUUGUCCUCUUCGUCUUUGUCUUCUGCAUAAUUGGCAUUGUCAUCUUCCUCAUUUUUUCUUGCAAUUGACAGCAUAGCAAGUCUUCUAACCUCUCCAGUCGCCAGCCUCCAGCCUCCAGCUCUCCUUGCAUGCUGCGCUGUCUCUUUGGCUCUUUCUCUAUGCUUCCAUCUUAUCGGUCUGCCGCUCUCUUUGCUUCUGGCUUUUUUCUCUGUGCUCUCCAUCUCCCUCUUCUUCAUCGCAAUCUCCUCUCACACAAUCUCCUUGGCCUCGAUUAACAGCACCCACAUGUCCUCGUAAUCAGGUGUCAUCUGUCAUUUGAGGCUUGGGUUUCACUGUUUGCAAGUAAAUGGGAAAAUUUUAUUUUUGAUGUUCUGAUUUCAUUUUUCUUGGGUCAUUUUCUUGCAAUAUUUGAUUCUCUCAUUUGGGUCUUCUGGCUUCCCUCAUCUGGGCCUUAACUACAACACAGGUGCACGUAAAUGUGGUAAAGCGAUGACAUUUCCAUAAUUUGUCUUAUUCAUCCCUGAUCGCAGCACCGACUACCUGAGGAUCA
rnacentral:misc_RNA from 1 species